rnacentral:rRNA from 1 species
GGCAGCGGGAGUAGCAAUACUUGCCGGCGACCGGCGCACGGGUGCGUAACGCGUAUGCAACUUACCAUUAACUGGAGGAUAGCCCCUCGAAAGAGGGAUUAAUACUCCAUAGUAUUAUGAAAAGGCAUCUUUUUAUAAUUAAAGCUCCGGCGGUUAAUGAUGGGCAUGCGUGACAUUAGCUAGUUGGUGAGGUAACGGCUCACCGAGGCAACGAUGUCUAGGGGAUCUGAGAGGACUAACCCCCACACUGGUACUGAGACACGGACCAGACUCCUACGGGAGGCAGCAGUAAGGAAUAUUGGUCAAUGGAGGCAACUCUGAACCAGCCAUGCCGCGUGAAGGAUGAAGGCCCUAUGGGUCGUAAACUUCUUUUGUACGGGAAAAAACCCUUUUACGUGUAAGAGGUUGAUGGUACCGUAAGAAUAAGGAUCGGCUAACUCCGUGCCAGCAGCCGCGGUAAUACGGAGGAUCCAAGCGUUAUCCGGAUUCAUUGGGUUUAAAGGGUGCGUAGGCGGCUUAUUAAGUCAGCGGUGAAAGCCUGGAGCUUAACUCCAGAACUGCCAUUGAUACUGAUGAGCUUGAGUACACUUGAAGUGGGCGGAAUGUGU